CACGCCCUGGGGUGUUCGCCAGUCAACACGUCCUUGAGCCGAUAACCGCAGUACAGGCGUUGUUCUGUAGGUCCUGUUGAGCAUUACCGCGCGAACGGGAAGCCUGAUGGACCGCGAACCUCGCCACCUUGAGCCUUAGGGUUCAAGGCCCAAUUGACAGCGGCACCUUGGGGUUCUC
rnacentral:other from 1 species